UUGCACACCAACUUCUCUCUCCCUCUUAUCCCCUCCCCUCCUCUCUCUCUCCCUCUUAUCCCCUCCCUUACCUUGCUUGUUGCAUGGGGCUGCGGUGCACGACGUCGUGAGGCAGGGCGCGGCGGUGCAGAGCAUCGGAGGCGUGAGGGGCAGGGGCUGCGGUGGCGGCGCGACACGCGCGGCGUUGACGUGGGGUGCUGACGGAGCGAGGGGCGUGAGCCGAGGUGGCUACGGUGUAACACCAGUACCUCAGGAGCUCAAAAAUCGGACUCCGGAAGUGCUGGUCGUGACUGGUCAGACCGAUCGGGGCAACCGGUCUGACCAAUGUGUUGAAGUUCGCCGCGAAGAUGACCAGUACAGCGCUAACGACCUCCACCCGUCGCGUCGGCGAUCCUCGCCAUCCACGCCGAGGUCGGCCUUAUCCUCUUGUCUCUGGUGCCCCAUUCCUCCCGUCCCCUUUCCCUUUUUCCUCCUCUCAGUUAAAGUCGAGCCGAAGCAGACCGCCGCCACUGUCGUUGAUUCCUGCCAUCCCUGGCCGCCAAUCGUCGAUUCCUCCCACGCCCACCUCCGCAACCUCGUCUCGCACCUCCGUCGCCCCUCCUCAAGCUCGGUUGAGCCCUACCCCGGCCGGAAUCGGCCAUCUCCGGGCCGCCGGAGCGGCUGCUCCACCCGAAGCUCCACCCCAACGUAAGCCCCUCCCUCCGGCCCUCCUCCACCUGAAUCGAUGCCCAAAACAAGUUCAUGGUGAGUCACCGAAGCUCCCCGGACCCCUUUUCCGUUCGUUCCCACGCCACCGGGGCCACAACACCAUCGCGCCGCCACGGUUGCCCUGCUUGCACCGCCCGCGUGUCGCCAAGCCUCAACCGCCGCCAAGCCGCCGCUCAACUGCACACAUGGUGUGUGCCGCAUCGCGGUGAUGCUCCUCGACUUGACCCUGACCGCCCACCCUCGCCGGAGCAGCACCAGCGCCCCCACCGCCAGCCGCGCCGGCUAUGGCCAUGGCCGCAGCGUGCCCUGGCUCACCCAGGACCGGUCUGACUGGUAUUGGCAACCGGUCAGACCGGUUUGCAAUGGAGUCCCUGUUUUCAGUUUUGUUUUUGUUCGUCUGAUUCCUGUAAAAUCCGUAGAAAAUAGUAGAAAAAUGCUAAAAAUGCAAAACUAAUUUUGUUAGCUUCAUAUCUUCAUGCUCUGUAUGCAACAUCAAGAAUUAGCAUUUGCAACAACAAAGCAUGUUGAAAAAUUAAUUAUUCAUCCAUCAAUGAUGAGCAAAAAAAUACGAUGCAACAUUUGUUUCAUGUUGCAUGAAACAUUCUAAAUUCCUCGAUGAGAAUGCAACAUCCAGAUAAAACACUGUUGACACAAAAAUUUCCCCACCGGACGGAAACCCUGGCGCUCCAUGUACGCUAGGGCAGGGGAGAUAUGCUUCACUCCAGAUAAUUUUUAUUUGUUUUGCUUCUAUUUUAUAUUGUUAUAAGGUCCUUUUGGUCUGUAUAUCUUAAAAUGACUAGGUAAAGGCCCGUGCGAUGCUACAGGCACAUAAUUUUUAAAUAAAAUGAAAUAAUUUUAAAGAAAUAUAGUAAGAAGACAAUAUACAUAUUGUCUAAAUCAUAAGUACAACAUAAACUUGGUUGAACUUGUUCAAUAAAUUGGGCCACACAGAUCAUAUUUUUCCCAAUGUUACUGUACUUGUAUCAAUCUCCUACUAUGUUUGAAUGAAUUGCUGACGAAUUCUCCUCCCAACAGAAAUAUCAUUCAUUUUUUAUAGAAACAGACAUCAAAAUAGUGCCGCCAAAACAUCCAAAAGCACACUAUCUAAGAAUGUUGAGGGCACAAAAUGAUGAAAUGAUCAAAUCACAACAUUCAAAA